rnacentral:rRNA from 1 species
ACCUGGAGGAAGGUGGGGAUGACGUCAAAUCAUCAUGCCCCUUAUGCUUAGGGCUACACACGUGCUACAAUGGGUAGUACAGAGGGUUGCCAAGCCGUAAGGUGGAGCUAAUCCCUUAAAGCUACUCCCAGUUCGGAUUGUAGGCUGAAACUCGCCUACAUGAAGCUGGAGUUACUAGUAAUCGCAGAUCAGAAUGCUGCGGUGAAUGCGUUCCCGGGUCUUGUACACACCGCCCGUCACACCACGGG